GACAGGAGUCUAAAAUUUCCCGUCCAGGCUUAGGGUCUACAGUAAACAGAAAAUCCCAAUUUUCUUUCACAUACACAGAAACUCAAAUUCCUUUCUUCUUCGCUGAGUAAUCGAAAAUGGGAGGUCACGGAGGUCUGAAUAUUCUCCCUCAGAAACGUUGGAACGUUUACAAUUACGAGAACAGAGAGAAGGUUCGUCGCGACGAGGAACAAGCCGCCAAGGAGGAACAGCUCAAGCGCGAGCAGGCUCGGAAGCGCGACGCCGAGUUCCGUCUCGAGCGUCUCCGCACCGCUCGAGGUUUGGCACCGAAGCUUCUCCCUCCCGGACCAGAACCCGAACCCGAACCCGAACCCAAACCCGAACUUGAGCCCGAGCCUUCUUCCGACGCUGGCCACAUCAACCUUUUUGAAGGGAUCAAGAUUUUCGACCCAAUUCAGGAGCCUCAGAAAGAGGAUCCUCCGGCAAAGAAGAAGAAAAAGGUGGAGGGAGGACCCAAACCCGCCGUUGUUGUGGGCCCGGAGGAUGAGAAGUAUAGACUUGGUUACGGGCUUGCCGGGAAGGGGGUUCAGUUACCGUGGUAUCUUCGGAAACCUAAUGAUGAUGUAGUGAAGGAUGAAAGCGGUGACGGCGAUAGGAGGGAGAAUAAGGGUGAGAAGAAGAGGAAGACGAUGGAGGAGUUGAGGGAAGAGAGAAUGAAAAGGGAGAGAAGAGAGAAGGACCGCGAGAGGGCUUUGAGACACGAGAAGAUGCAGAGUCACAGAGAUGUUUCUGGCAGUAGGAGGAGGGUCUCUAGAUGAACAUAACAUCGUAAUUGCGGCUUUAUCUUGUUUCAGCACAGGACAAUAAUGUUAUCUCAAUUGUUUGGUCUUGGAAAAGGAAGUUUAGACUAAGAAUGAUGCCUUCAGAUGCUUUAGGUGAAAUACUUCAGGUUUGUCCAUGACUUUCUCUGUAAACAAAAAACGUUGUAUCCAGUCUAUGAUUUACUUCAAGCUUGACAAGAAGCCAAUGUCUUCCUAGUGACUAGCUGUGCUAGAAAUAUUUAAGUUACUAGAACAAACUACUUUUAUUAGUAAUACUGGUACUGCAAUUAAGCUAUGAAGUUUUAUUCCAGUUUCUACUGUAGCGAAGUUAUUACUGUUGCUGCUACUUAAAUUUUGGAGUUUCUUUAAUCUGUAAACAUUGUAUGGAAGGAAAUUAAUACUAAUAUCCUUUUUGCAUUAUUGAGUGUCUAGGAAAAACAUUUUACUGCGCUAGUGGAUAAUUUGUCAAGAUCCAGAGUAACAUAGUAAAUUUAAUAAGUGAAACUAAAUAUUCAAGGAGGAAGUAGGAAUUAAAGGUUGUUAGGAUAUAAAAGGUAACGGGGACCUUAUCACUGAGAGCAAAGGGUUUCAUAUGAUCUAUCAAUUAAUGAGAAUAGAAUGGCCUUUAAAGUUUUGAGGGAAUAUUAGCAUUUACUACUGAAGUGUGAGCGAUUUCAGCAGCGACAUUUUCGUUUGCGAUACUAUUUUGUUUAGGGGAUGCAAAAACUAGAAGACUGUUGCAUUAUUCCGAGAGUUUAUGUGAAGGAAUUAAAGGGAGUUGUUGAGAAAUGAAGGAAGCUGAAGUAUAUUAGUGUCUGCUAAGAAGUGACCGUAAAUGUAAUUUUUUUAAGCAUAUGCAUUUAAUCCAUAAAAUUUCGAACAAGUUCUUUUGAGCAAUGUCUUGCUAUUUUGACGCGCCUACUUUAAAAGUGUCUAGAUAUUUAAUAACGGAACUAACUUUGUUACCUCAUUUUAUUAACCUUUGACUUAAUGAAGAAGAAAUUAGAAGGCAUAGGAAGCUUCUGGGCUGCUGUUUACUGAUUGAAUAUUUUAAUCACCUGAUCUAUCCAAUCUGUUCUCUUCGGAAAGAUGCAAAAACCUGUCAUACUCUUUUAUCUAGUUUUUACCCUUUUCCUCUCUAUAUUUUGGUACGGUUAAUUUGAAAAGGGCUUAGUUGUCUCUCAACUUCAUAGGUUUUAUAAACAUUAGGAUCAAUGUUAGUAUAUGGAUAGUUUAACAUAUAUUAAAAUAACUUUUUUUCAAAUACAUGAGAAUUAGAUGGAUAGGCAAGAUGACACUUUGGCCUCUGAAAUAACAAAACAGAUGCUACCACCUCGCUUUGAAGAGCGUAACAUUUGAUCUCGAUGUAUGAGAUCACUUCAAUGAAUUGUCAGAGUCUAACAUCAAGAAGCAAGUUAAAUGUAGUCGUCGUGGUAGUUGGAUUAAAUUUGUGAGUGGAAAAAUUGCUGUGGUAACUCAUUUGUGCAGAUGCAAGGGUAUCCAAACAAUGACGUGAACCCGAAUCAAAAGUCAGAUUCAUCUACCUCUAAUCAUUUCUUCCCAUUUCUUUGCCCAAAAUUGACUACUUAUGUCAAAACGAACUGAUCAAAAUGUUUGUGGCAAUUGAACUUUCCUUUUGAAUUGUCGAUCUUGAACCUUUUGUGGCAUCUUUUAGCAUUGUAGCACCCUUUCUUUUUGUCAUCUCACAUUCUACCACGGCACGCGAUGUUUUUAAACUUUGGAAUUGUGAAAAAGGGCAUUUGAGGAACUUUCUUUAUUGUCACUCUCGUAGAGUUCGCCUCGCCACUUAGACUUGGACUUCAUUUCAAAAAGGAGGUAGUGAUGAUCCUCAUUUCUGUAACCAAAAUUUUCAAUCAACUAGGUUUAAUAAAUCUGAAUUAAGUAAAUACUUGGAUGAAGCCUUAGAAGAGAUUCAAGGAAAUUUGGAUAUUUUGAAUUGGUAGGAGCUAAAUUCGGGUAGAUUUCUAGUUCUUGCAAACAUGGCAAGAGAUGACUCUACAGUGGCAACUAAAUCUUCCUUCAGCCCUGGAAGAAUAUCUUUUGAUCCACAUUGUAGUUCUCUUGCACCACAAAUGGUAGAAACACUUGUUUGCACGCAAGAUUGGCUUAAAGGGACACACCCUCACUAUUUUCCUCAAAUGAAAAAGAGGAUUUUGAGGAGCUCGAGAGAUGUGAAAAAGGUAACAAUAUUUGUUUUAUACUAUAUUAUUGUACCAUGCUUACUAUAAUAUGACUGAUAAGUAACAUUGUUUUCUUAAUUUUGUAGACACCAUUCCCUCACAAGACUUUACUUAUCCAGCAUCUUGUGUUACACUAGAUGAUGACUGAAAAUGUAGAAUGAUUUUCUUUGUGACUUUGAAUUAGGAUUAUUUUGUAUUUAGUUGUUUGGACCUUUUAAUCUCGGGUUAUUAACUUGUUGCCUUUCUUCAUGCUUGGGUUCCAUUUUAUGAUACUUGUAUAGAACUGCAGACCAGGGUUGUUUUGUAAGCUAUAAACUGCUAAUCAGAUACAGAAUUUCCCUGCAAUGACACCUUGACGGCACCCUUCAGAAUUCUACAACAACGAGGCUUUGGCACUGAAAUUCAUACCCCCAUCAAACCAAGCAGAAGAGAACAACAGUUUCCAAAUCUUAGUGCGGGGACAACUUUAAAACCAGAAGCUCGUGAAGAAAGGAAAACGAAGAUGUUGACUUCAUAAAAAGAAGAGAUUUUGAUAAUCAAAUGGCCAUUAACAACACAGAGUCAGAGGUUUGCAUGAAGGCUACUACAAACGAUAAUCGUUCCCUUUUACACAUGGAGAACUUGACCCUCCCUCCGCCUUGUAGAUAGAAAAAAACGAUGGUGAGAAGAGAGAAAUCAUCAACUUGAUCACAAAUACUUCACACCAACGUCAUGGUGAUUAACAAAGUUGUUUAUUCCGAAUGCUUGUUAGUCAAAGAAAAUGGUUUGAAGUCUUCCGAUUAAGUUAUUGUAAUAUCAUAAAAUAGAUGAUUGUAGAGAUGCCAAGUUCAAAGCUAUAUUUUGUAAUGGUUGAUGAACAGUUUCAGGUUGUAGUGAUAGCAGCAAAUAUGGGGUGCAAUGGGUGCAGAGGGAGGGUUUUCAGAGUUGUCUCAAGAAUGACUGGGUUGACAGAGUACACUGUGGAUCUGCAGAAGAGAGAAGUAACCAUAAAGGGAGAUUUCAUAGCAAAUUGCAAUUUGCAGAACGAAAGCAUUAGAAGCAGGAGCCUUGAGAGUUCGAAUGAUGAACCCAAGUCUCUGUCUACAUGUUUAGCUCAUUCUGACUAACAUUAAUCUAACAUAAUCAUAGCUACAAAUGAUUAAAUCAUAAGGCUUACUCAUAAUGAAUCAGAAGAUGCUGCCAAAGAAUUCUAAUCUAUGCUACUUCAUGUUGGUAUGAAUUGAUUCGUUUAUUUUAUUCACCAGUUUGACGUUUCUGUGUAGAAAGAAAAUGCUUCAACUUAUUUUCUCUUACAUGAUAAUGUGCUCUCCUAAACACAACCGAUAGAAAAUUUAAAAUAACUUCAGCAAGCAUUUUGUAGUCU